rnacentral:rRNA from 1 species
GGUAACGGCCCACCAAGGCAACGAUCAGUAGGGGUUCUGAGAGGAAGGUCCCCCACAUUGGAACUGAGACACGGUCCAAACUCCUACGGGAGGCAGCAGUGAGGAAUAUUGGUCAAUGGACGAGAGUCUGAACCAGCCAAGUAGCGUGCAGGAAGACGGCCCUAUGGGUUGUAAACUGCUUUUAUAAGGGAAUAAAGUGAGAGUCGUGACUCUUUUUGCAUGUACCUUAUGAAUAAGGACCGGCUAAUUCCGUGCCAGCAGCCGCGGUAAUACGGAAGGUCCGGGCGUUAUCCGGAUUUAUUGGGUUUAAAGGGAGCGUAGGCCGGAGAUUAAGCGUGUUGUGAAAUGUAGACGCUCAACGUCUGCACUGCAGCGCGAACUGGUUUCCUUGAGUACGCACAAAGUGGGCGGAAUUCGUGGUGUAGCGGUGAAAUGCUUAGAUAUCACGAAGAACUCCGAUUGCGAAGGCAGCUCACUGGAGCGCAACUGACGCUGAAGCUCGAAAGUGCGGGUAUCGAACAGGAUUAGAAACCCUGGUAGUCCGCACGGUAAACGAUGGAUGCCCGCUGUUGGUCUGAAUAGGUCAGCGGCCAAGCGAAAGCAUUAAGCAUCCCACCUGGGGAGUACGCCGGCAACGGUGAAACUCAAAGGAAUUGACGGGGGCCCGCACAAGCGGAGGAACAUGUGGUUUAAUUCGAUGAUACGCGAGGAACCUUACCCGGGCUUGAAUUGCAGAGGAAGGAUUUGGAGACAAUGACGCCCUUCGGGGCCUCUGUGAAGGUGCUGCAUGGUUGUCGUCAGCUCGUGCCGUGAGGUGUCGGCUUAAGUGCCAUAACGAGCGCAACCCCUCUCCUUAGUUGCCAUCAGGUUAAGCUGGGCACUCUGGGGACACUGCCACCGUAAGGUGUGAGGAAGGUGGGGAUGACGUCAAAUCAGCACGGCCCUUACGUCCGGGGCUACACACGUGUUACAAUGGCAGGUACAGAGAGACGGUCCCUUGCAAAACGGAUCAAAUCCUUAAAGCCUGUCUCAGUUCGGACUGGGGUCUGCAACCCGACCCCACGAAGCUGGAUUCGCUAGUAAUCGCGCAUCAGCCAUGGCGCGGUGAAUACGUUCCCGGGCCUUGUACACACCGCCCGUCAAGCCAUGAAAGCCGGGGGCGCCUAAAGUCCGUGACCGUAAGGAGCGGCCUAGGGCGAAACUGGUAAUUGGGGCUAAGUCGGAACAAGGUA